GAUGAACGCUGGCGGCGUGCCUAAUACAUGCAAGUCGAGCGGCAGCACGGUCUUCGGACUGGUGGCGAGCGGCGGACGGCUGAGUAACGCGUAGGAACAUGCCCUAAAGUGAGGAAUAACUGCCCGAAAGGGUGGCUAAUGCCGCAUGUGCUCUUCGAAGUAAAGCUUUAUGCGCUUUAGGAGUGGCCUGCGUCCGAUUAGCUAGUUGGUGAGGUAAAUGCUCACCAAGGCGACGAUCGGUAGCUGGUCUGAGAGGAUGAUCAGCCAGACUGGAACUGAGAACGGUCCAGACUCCUACGGGAGGCAGCAGUAGGGAAUUUUCCACAAUGGGCGAGAGCCUGAUGCAGCGACGCCGCGUGAGGGAUGACGGCCUUCGGGUUGUAAACCUCUUUCAGUAGGGACGAAGCGCAAGUGACGGUACCUACAGAAGAAGGACCGGCCAACUACGUGCCAGCCGCCGCAGUAA
rnacentral:rRNA from 1 species